AGGUAAGCUACUAAGAGCGAAUGGUGGAUGCCUUGACUGGUAAAGGCGAUGAAGGACGUACUAGACUGCGAUAAGCUACGGGGAGCUGUCAAGAAGCUUUGAUCCGUAGAUUUCCGAAUGGGGCAACCCAAUGUAUAGAGAUAUACAUUACCUAUAUAGGAGCGAACGAGGGGAAUUGAAACAUCUUAGUACCCUCAGGAAAAGAAAUCAAUAGAGAUUGCGUCAGUAGCGGCGAGCGAAAGCGCAAGAGGGCAAACCCAGUGCUUGCACUGGGGGUUGUAGGACUGCAAUAUGCAAGAGGUAAGUUUAGCAGAACAUUCUGGAAAGUAUAACCAUAGAGGGUGAUAGUCCCGUAUGCGAAAAACAAACCUUAGCUAGCAGUAUCCUGAGUAGGGCGGGACACGAGGAAUCCUGUCUGAAUCCGGGUCGACCACGAUCCAACCCUAAAUACUAAUACCAGAUCGAUAGUGCACAAGUACCGUGAGGGAAAGGUGAAAAGAACUGAGGUGAUCAGAGUGAAAUAGAACCUGAAACCAUUUGCUUACAAUCAUUCAGAGCCCUAUGUAGCAAUACAGGGUGAUGGACUGCCUUUUGCAUAAUGAGCCUGCGAGUUGUGGUGUCUGGCAAGGUUAAGCAAACGCGAAGCCGUAGCGAAAGCGAGUCUGAAUAGGGCGCUUAGUCAGAUGCUGCAGACCCGAAACGAAGUGAUCUAUCCAUGAGCAAGUUGAAGCUAGUGUAAGAACUAGUGGAGGACUGAACCCAUAGGCGUUGAAAAGCCCCGGGAUGACUUGUGGAUAGGGGUGAAAGGCCAAUCAAACUUCGUGAUAGCUGGUUCUCUCCGAAAUAUAUUUAGGUAUAGCGUUGUGUCGUAAUAUAAGGGGGUAGAGCACUGAAUGGGCUAGGGCAUACACCAAUGUACCAAACCCUAUCAAACUCCGAAUACCUUAUAUGUAAUCACAGCAGUCAGGCGGCGAGUGAUAAAAUCCGUCGUCAAGAGGGAAACAACCCAGACUACCAGCUAAGGUCCCUAAGUCUUACUUAAGUGGAAAACGAUGUGAAGUUACUUAAACAACCAGGAGGUUGGCUUAGAAGCAGCCAUCCUUUAAAGAAAGCGUAAUAGCUCACUGGUCUAGUGAUUUUGCGCGGAAAAUAUAACGGGGCUAAAGUAAGUACCGAAGCUGUAGACUUAGUUUACUAAGUGGUAGGAGAGCGUUCUAUUUGCGUCGAAGGUAUACCGGUAAGGAGUGCUGGAGCGAAUAGAAGUGAGCAUGCAGGCAUGAGUAGCGAUAAUUAAUGUGAGAAUCAUUAACGCCGUAAACCCAAGGUUUCCUACGCGAUGCUCGUCAUCGUAGGGUUAGUCGGGUCCUAAGUCGAGUCCGAAAGGGGUAGACGAUGGCAAAUUGGUUAAUAUUCCAAUACCAACAUUAGUGUGCGAUGGAAGGACGCUUAGGGCUAAGGGGGCUAGCGGAUGGAAGUGCUAGUCUAAGGUCGUAGGAGGUUAUACAGGCAAAUCCGUAUAACAAUACUCCGAGAACUGAAAGGCUUUUUGAAGUCUUCGGAUGGAUAGAAGAACCCCUGAUGCCGUCGAGCCAAGAAAAGUUUCUAAGUUUAGCUAAUGUUGCCCGUACCGUAAACCGACACAGGUGGGUGGGAUGAGUAUUCUAAGGCGCGUGGAAGAACUCUCUUUAAGGAACUCUGCAAAAUAGCACCGUAUCUUCGGUAUAAGGUGUGGUUAGCUUUGUAUUAGGAUUUACUCCGAAAGCAAGGAAACUUACAACAAAGAGUCCCUCCCGACUGUUUACCAAAAACACAGCACUCUGCUAACUCGUAAGAGGAUGUAUAGGGUGUGACGCCUGC
rnacentral:rRNA from 1 species